rnacentral:rRNA from 1 species
GCAGUCGACGAGGUCCAACCUUCGGGUGAAGACCGAGUGGCGAACGGGUGAGUAACACGUGGGGAACCUGCCCUUCUCUCUGGGAUAACUCCGGGAAACCGGAGCUAAUACCGGAUACUCCUUGCGGACCGCAUGGUCUGCUCGGGAAAGCUCCGGCGGAGAAGGAUGGCCCCGCGGCCCAUUAGCUUGUUGGUGGGGUAACGGCCCACCAAGGCGACGAUGGGUAGCCGAGCUGAGAGGCUGAUCGGCCACACUGGGACUGAGACACGGCCCAGACUCCUACGGGAGGCAGCAGUGGGGAAUCUUGCGCAAUGGGCGAAAGCCUGACGCAGCAACGCCGCGUGCGGGAUGAAGGCUCUCGGGUCGUAAACCGCUUUCAGCAGGGAUGAAAAUGACAGUACCUGCAGAAGAAGCCCCGGCUAAAUACGUGCCAGCAGCCGCGGUAAUACGUAUGGGGCAAGCGUUAUCCGGAUUCAUUGGGCGUAAAGCGCGCGUAGGCGGCUUGUUAAGUCAGGCGUGAAAUCCGGGGGCUCAACCCGCGGCUUGCGUCUGAAACUGGCAGGCUUGAGUCUGGUAGAGGAAAGUGGAAUUCCUGGUGUAGCGGUGAAAUGCGCAGAUAUCAGGAGGAACACCAGUGGCGAAGGCGGCUUUCUGGGCCACGACUGACGCUGAGGCGCGAAAGCUAGGGGAGCGAACAGGAUUAGAUACCCUGGUAGUCCUAGCCGUAAACGAUGGGCACUAGGUGUGGGGGGUCAUCGACUCCCUCCGUGCCGAAGCUAACGCAUUAAGUGCCCCGCCUGGGGAGUACGGCCGCAAGGCUAAAACUCA